rnacentral:rRNA from 1 species
UGGGGAAUUUUGGACAAUGGGGGAAACCCUGAUCCAGCCAUCCCGCGUGUGCGAUGAAGGCCUUCGGGUUGUAAAGCACUUUUGGCAGGAAAGAAACGUCAUGGGUUAAUACCCCGUGAAACUGACGGUACCUGCAGAAUAAGCACCGGCUAACUACGUGCCAGCAGCCGCGGUAAUACGUAGGGUGCAAGCGUUAAUCGGAAUUACUGGGCGUAAAGCGUGCGCAGGCGGUUCGGAAAGAAAGAUGUGAAAUCCCAGAGCUCAACUUUGGAACUGCAUUUUUAACUACCGGGCUAGAGUGUGUCAGAGGGAGGUGGAAUUCCGCGUGUAGCAGUGAAAUGCGUAGAUAUGCGGAGGAACACCGAUGGCGAAGGCAGCCUCAUGGGAUAACACUGACGCUCAUGCACGAAAGCGUGGGGAGCAAACAGG